UGCAUGUGCGCGCACGCAUGCUGGUGCUGGGAACCCGCGCACUGCAGAUAGCGAUGUGUGCGCCGGUCAUGGUCGAGCUAGAGGGAGAGACUGAUCCACUGCAGAUUGCCAUGAAAGAACUCAAAUCGAGGAAAAUUCCCAUCA